rnacentral:lncRNA from 1 species
ACUUUUUGAAGUAGGGGCGCGCUAUAUACAAAUUUCUGAAAAAUAUGUUAUCACGUGACCAACAAAGUCCACGUCAAAAAAUGACGUCUAUAUCAAUCAUCUCUAAUCACAUGGCAUUUCCCUCCUUUUCCUGGAAAAAUGGCUGGCAUCAUCUGCGUUGAGAAAGAAUUCAUUCGAUAUUGUCGAAGUAUGAAUUGUGGACAAAUAAAAUCCAAACAGGCAACUUUAAAUCAAUGCAAAACGCGUUCAUCGCUUUGUAAGUACAAGUUUUUUACAGAUCAUUGCUUAUUUUCGUUGGAGAGAAAUCAAACGUUCACCAUUUCUGUAAUGAAAUUGUAUAAUAGAGUAAC